UACGUAGGGGGCAAGCGUUGUCCGGAAUCAUUGGGCGUAAAGCGCGUGUAGGCGGCUCGGUAAGUCUGCUGUGAAACCUCCAGGCUCAACCUGGAGACGCCAUCUGAUACUGCCGUGGCUUGAGUCCGGUAGAGGAGCAGGGAAUUCCUGGUGUAGCGGUGAAAUGCGCAGAUAUCAGGAGGAACACCAGCGGCGAAGGCGCUGCUCUGGGCCGGUACUGACGCUGAGGAGCGAAAGCGUGGGGAGCGAACAGG
rnacentral:rRNA from 1 species